CCUCUCUCUCUGCUACUGCAAACUACAAAAUCUACAAGAAUCAGAAGUUCAAAACCCAUAUAUUUCAGUUUAUCUAUCUGUCUGCAAGAAUCAAAAGUUCAAUACCUAUUGCCUAUAUCUAAACGCAUAUCGGCAUAUCAUUUCAGAUUGUUCAAAAAAUCAAAACCCAUAUCUUUCAGUUUCCUUCGCCCGCUGUUCCAGUUCGGGAUCGCCGUUCGCAAGCUUCAGCCGCUGUCUCUCAACUCUCAAGCUUGCCCCCCUCUCUCUCUCUGCAACUGCUAACGUGUUGAUGGAAGACAAUUGGAAGUUCAAUAGUCGACUGGGUUAGAGAGAAAGAUCCCUUCAAAGAUAUUAUGUUUUGCCAUCUUCCUGCCAAGUCUAUAUUCAAGUUUAAAUUGGUUUGCAAGGAUUGGCGUCAAUAUUUGGGACUAAUGCAAUGCAAACUUUACAGACUUAUUUUUUCAGUAAAUUUUCUGGAUAUUACUAUAUGUCCAGAUAUUUCACUCCAAAGUUCAUUUCGUUAGACCGAGCAAGUUACAGGGUGGCGAAUGAUAUUUUGGAUUCCUUACCACACCGUGUAAUUGUAAGGAGCAGUUGCAAAGGUUUACUACUAUGCGAAGCACGUAACCAAAUUGGUUUAUACUAUAUUUGCAGUUCUGUGAACCUUCAGUGGGAGGUGAUUACUUGUGUCGAUGACACAGUUAAUCCAAUUAUUUCUGAAAUGGUGUUAGCUUUUGAACCUUCAAAGGAAGGGUUCAAAGGAUUUGAAAUUGUCAAUGCAUCUCUAAUUGGACCCCCUAUGACAGUUGAGGUGUAUUCAUUGAAAACAAGUUCUUGGCAAGGAUAUACAAAAGGAGGCUUAGACUCUGCAGUAGAAUUCAUUCUAACGCGUUGUACUUAAAAAGGACUGUUUAUUGGAGGAUUUCGUCUAGGAGACUCUUUUUUUUUUUUAAAUGGAUUCAGGAACUGACGGCUGUAUUGACUUGGAGUACCUAAGUGAAGAAGGAACCAUAACUGAUUGGGAGGGAAAACUCUGUUUCAUUCACUCGUACUCUGUGGGAAACGAUUGUCGUUUCAGUAUUUUUGUUUGUCCACAGAAAGAAAAGAAGAUGAUGUUGAAGAUGGAGGGUACGAUAGACCUCCUAAAAGUUUAUGAUGUAGAUCUACUGAUAUAGGUAUUAGUUGGGAUAGAAGACGAUUUAGUCAAUAUUCUCAUAGGGGAUUGACUAUAUGCAUAUCAUAUGAGGAGUUAGGAGAUAAAUGUAAUCAGAAGGGUUGUGAAUGCAAGGGAUACAUUAUGUAUUCCAUAUGUAAAUUUACUGGUGAGGUUAUAGGAGCCAAAAGAAGAUACGAAAUGUAAAAUUGAUCCUCAAGAUGAGCAAAAGCACAAAAAGAAGCCUGUUGAAAUGCUACUAGAAGAUAAGAAGCAUGAAGAAGAAGAGGCCAUGUAUGUAGAAGAAGAUCAAAAACAAAAUGGCGACAAGAAUGCAGAAGAAAUGAAAAACAGAAAGAAGAGAAGGUGAACAUGCAGUCCUUUAUUUGUCAUACCAUGCUAAUAUUUUUUGUGAACUUAGCGGUUCAAAUUCAUCAUUUUUAUUGUUGUCCUCAUAUGAUAUGAGUAUAGCCAACUAUGAGAGUAUUGACUAAAUCGUCUUCUAUCCCAGCUAAUGUAGAUCUACGCUGCAAACUUCUAGGAGGUCUAUUGGACCCUCCAUCUCCAACAUCAUCUUCUUUUCUUUCUGUGGACAAACAAAAAUACUGAGACGACAAUCGUUUCCCACAGAGUGUGAGUGAAUUAAACAGAGUUUUCCCUCCCAAUCAGUUAUGGUUCCUUCUUCACUUGGGUACUCCAAGUCAAUAAAGCCGCCAGUUCUUGAAUCCAUUUAAAAAAAAAAAAAAGUCUCUCCUAGACGAAAUCUUCCAAUAGACGGUCCUUUUUAAGUACAUCCAGAAUGAAUUCUACUGCCGAGUCUAAAGCCUUCUAAGACAACAAGCAACCAAGACUAUAGUAAACACAAGCGUUGGAGAGGGCGAUAUGAGAAGCUAGAUUUCAUUCCUGAUAUUCUCAGUGGAAGCAGCAAGCAAUACUUUAACACUACCUUCUUGACCCUGAGCACAAGUUUAUCAAAGGAACACCAGUUAUCUGGUUGAUAUUUUUAAUUUUACCUUUAGUUGUAUUGGUUAUAGACAAAUUAUUGUUCUACAUGGUUUUGAAAAAGAAAAACAUUCAACUGUGGAUGUUGUUUGAGAAAGAAUAGAAAUGCCAAAUAUUGGCCAUUUUACUGCUUACAAGUUGAAUUUCUGAAGCUGGUCCGAUCUGGUAAUCAUUCGGGCGCAUUAAAGGUCACUUGCUCUCAUUUAGGCCCAUUGGCUACUAGUGAUCCAGCUUUGCUGAAAUCCUUGAAGGAGACUUUGUUGGCAUUGCUCAAAGAUGCACUUUGUGAAGGCUUGCCCUUUCUUACUCUUGCAAGUUCACUUCAGGUUGCUAGAGGUUUUGAGAUGGGACAUUUGAAGCGAAACCUCAUGUCUACUAAUAGAAAGACCACCUCAUGAAGCAAUUCUUUAGUUUUUGACCUUUUGAAAAAAGAAAAAAGAACAACAACUUUAGUUUAGAAUAUUUUACGUACAUAGUUACUUUGGAAUAUUAUCAAGUGAUUUUGACCAAGCUGUUGUGAUUAAAGAGUUGUGUGGACAAGAAGGCCAAGUGCCUAAAUUAGGCUUUUGAAGUGACACCUUAUGACUAUUACGGCGUCCGAAAUGAAGAAGUUACUGUUUUUCAA